rnacentral:misc_RNA from 1 species
GAUGAAUAACGUAGCGAAAUGCGAUACGUAAUGUGAAUUGCAGAAUUCAGUGAAUCAUCGAGUCUUUGAACGCACAUUGCGCCCCCUGGUAUUCCGGGGGGCAUGCCUGUCCGAGCGUCAUUGCUGCCCAUCAAGCACGGCUUGUGUGUUGGGUCCUCGUCCCCCCCGGGGGACGUGCCCGAAAGGCAGCGGCGGCACCGCGUCCGGUCCUCGAGCGUAUGGGGCUUUGUCACCCGCUCUGCAGGCCCGGCCGGCGCUGGCCGACGCGAAAGCAACCAUUUUUUCUCCAGGUUGACCUCGGAUCAGGUAGGGAUACCCGCUGAACUUAAGCAUAUCAAUAAGCGGAGGA